rnacentral:lncRNA from 1 species
CACUUCAAUUGGUCUAAUUAUUCUUUUUCCUCUCUUAUUUCACAGGGAGACUCACUGCGCUGCUUGGGGAGCGAGACGUGAAGCUUCGGAAACUCACCGGGGAACUCGCAAAACGUGACGCAACCAUCCGGAUAUUUACGCUGGAGCUUGGGCAGCAGAACACAAAAAUCGG